UUCUUAUUACGUUAGUAUUUCUCUCAUUUUUUUUGUAUUCUGAGCCUCGUCCACUUAUUGCUACUUCAGUUAAUAAUGCAGCUUCAGCCAAAGAUUCUGGUUCAAGUGAGGAACAUGACGGUGUGCUCCCGUGGUUGUCUUCACUCUUCAUUGAGAAAAACUCACAUAAGACUACUCGUCUUAGUCCUGGCGGGCCUGAUCCACGGCAUCAUUGAUCCCUGAUACCAUAGCUAGUGUCUAAGAAGACACGUCAUGAGGGUCACAAAUAAUAAUCAUUUCUUAAUUAUGAACUACCAGUUAUAAAAUAUGCAAAAAUAAUGCUG
rnacentral:lncRNA from 1 species